GCGUAAGCGCGCGUAGGCCGUUGAGUUAGUUAAUUGUGAAAUCCCAAAGCUUAACUUUGGAACUGCAAUUAAAACUGCUCGACUAGAGUUUGAUAGAGGAAAGCGGAAUACAUAGUGUAGAGGUGAAAUUCGUAGAUAUUAUGUAGAACACCAGUUGCGAAGGCGGCUUUCUGGAUCAACACUGACGCUGAGGCGCGAAAGUAUGGGUAGCAAAGAGGAUUAGAUACCCUCGUAGUCCAUACCAUAAACGAUGAUUGCUAGAUGUUGGAAAUUUAUUUUCAGUAUCGCAGCUAACGCAUUAAGCAAUCCGCCUGGGGAGUACGACCGCAAGGUUAAAACUCAAAUGAAUUGACGGGGACCCGCACAAGCGGUGGAGCAUGUGGUUUAAUUCGAAGAUACGCGCAGAACCUUACCAACCCUUGACAUGUCUGUCGCGAGUUUAGGAAACUAGACUUUUCGGUUCGGCCGGACAGAACACAGGUGCUGCAUGGCUGUCGUCAGCUCGUGUCGUGAGAUGUUGGGUUAAGUCCCGCAACGAGCGCAACCCCUACUUUUAGUUGCCAUCAGGUCAUGCUGGGCACUCUGAAAGAACUGCCAGUGAUAAGCUGGAGGAAGGUG
rnacentral:rRNA from 1 species